rnacentral:rRNA from 1 species
UUGAGCACGAGUGUCUGAGGGAAACCAUUAAGCUAUCCACCUGGGGAGUACGCCGGCAACGGUGAAACUCAAAGGAAUUGACGGGGGCCCGCACAAGCGGUGGAACAUGUGGUUUAAUUCGAUGAUACGCGAGAAACCUUACCUGGGCUUAAAUGGCAGCUGCAUAGCAUGGAGACAUGCUUUCCCUUCACAGGGCUGCUGCCAAGGUGCUGCAUGGCUGUCGUCAGCUCGUGCCGUGAGGUGUCGGGUUAAGUCCCAUAACGAGCGCAACCCCUGCCGCCAGUUGCCAUCAGGUAAUGCUGGGGACUCUGGCGGGACUGCCGCCGCAAGGCGCGAGGAAGGCGGGGAUGAUGUCAAGUCAGCACGGCCCUUACGUCCAGGGCUACACACGUGUUACAAUGGCGGCUACAGAGGGCAGCUGGGCAGCGAUGCCGUGCGAAUCUCAAAAAGCCGUCCCAGUUCGGAUUGGAGUCUGCAACCCGACUCCAUGAAGGUGGAAUCGCUAGUAAUCGCGUAUCAGCACUGACGCGGUGAAUACGUUCCCGGGCCUUGUACACACCGCCCGUCAAGCCAUGGAAGCUGGGGGUGCCUGAAGACUGCCGCCGCAAGGAGCGGUCAAGGGUAAAACCGGUAACUGGGGCUAAGUCGUAACAAGGUAGCCG